AGCCAGUGAUGUGAUCAUUAUAUUUGCUACUCUUGAUGGUGUCAACCAUCUGAUGAACAUAACCACCAAGAUCUCUGAGGCU